rnacentral:rRNA from 2 species
UUAAGUUAUUAAGGGCGCACGGUGGAUGCCUUGGCACUAGAAGCCGACGAAGGACGUUACUAACGACGAUAUGCUUUGGGGAGCUGUAAGUAAGCUUUGAUCCAGAGAUUUCCGAAUGGGGAAACCCGGCACGAGUUAUGUCGUGUUAUCGAUAUGUGAAUACAUAGCAUAUCUGAAGGCAGACGCGGAGAACUGAAACAUCUUAGUACCCGCAGGAAGAGAAAGAAAAAUCGAUUCCCUGAGUAGCGGCGAGCGAAACGGGAAGAGCCCAAACCAACGAGCUUGCUUGUUGGGGUUGUAGGACACUCUAUACGGAGUUACAAAAGAACAGACUAGACGAAUCAUCUGGAAAGAUGAAUCAAAGAAGGUAAUAAUCCUGUAGUCGAAAGUUUGUUCACUCUUGAGUGGAUCCUGAGUACGACGGAACACGAGAAAUUCCGUCGGAAUCUGGGAGGACCAUCUCCCAAGGCUAAAUACUCUCUAGUGACCGAUAGUGAACCAGUACCGUGAGGGAAAGGUGAAAAGUACCCCGGAAGGGGAGUGAAAUAGAACUUGAAACCGUGUGCUUACAAGUAGUCAGAGCCCGUUAAUGGGUGAUGGCGUGCCUUUUGUAGAAUGAACCGGCGAGUUACGAUUUGAUGCAAGGUUAAGCAGUGAAUGUGGAGCCGUAGCGAAAGCGAGUCUGAAUAGGGCGUUGAGUAUUUGGUCGUAGACCCGAAACCAGGUGAUCUACCCAUGACCAGGUUGAAGUUCAGGUAACACUGAAUGGAGGACCGAACCGACUUACGUUGAAAAGUGAGCGGAUGAGUUGUGGGUAGCGGAGAAAUUCCAAUCGAACCUGGAGAUAGCUGGUUCUCUCCGAAAUAGCUUUAGGGCUAGCCUCAAGUGAUGAUUAUUGGAGGUAGAGCACUGUUUGGACGAGGGGCCCUUAUCGGGUUACCGAAUUCAGACAAACUCCGAAUGCCAAUCAAUUUAACUUGGGAGUCAGAACGCGGGUGAUAAGGUCCGUGUUCGAAAGGGAAACAGCCCAGACCACCAGCUAAGGUCCCAAAAUAUAUGUUAAGUGGAAAAGGAUGUGGCGUUGCCCAGACAACUAGGAUGUUGGCUUAGAAGCAGCCAUCAUUUAAAGAGUGCGUAAUAGCUCACUAGUCGAGUGACACUGCGCCGAAAAUGUACCGGGGCUAAACAUAUUACCGAAGCUGUGGAUUGUCCGUAAGGACAAUGGUAGGAGAGCGUUCUAAGGGCGUUGAAGCAUGAUCGCAAGGACAUGUGGAGCGCUUAGAAGUGAGAAUGCCGGUGUGAGUAGCGAAAGACGGGUGAGAAUCCCGUCCACCGAUUGACUAAGGUUUCCAGAGGAAGGCUCGUCCGCUCUGGGUUAGUCGGGUCCUAAGCUGAGGCCGAUAGGCGUAGGCGAUGGAUAACAGGUUGAUAUUCCUGUACCACCAUUAUUCGUUUUAAGCGAUGGGGGGACGCAGUAGGAUAGGCGAAGCGUACGAUUGGAUUGUACGUCCAAGCAGUGAGAUUGAGUGUUAGGCAAAUCCGGCACUCUUAAGAUUGAGCUGUGAUGGGGAGAGGAAAUUGUUUCCUCGAGUCGUUGAUUUCACACUGCCAAGAAAAGCCUCUAGCUAGAAUUGUGGUGCCCGUACCGCAAACCGACACAGGUAGUCAAGAUGAGAAUUCUAAGGUGAGCGAGCGAACUCUCGUUAAGGAACUCGGCAAAAUGACCCCGUAACUUCGGGAGAAGGGGUGCUCUUUAGGGUUAACGCCCAGGAGAGCCGCAGUGAAUAGGCCCAAGCGACUGUUUAUCAAAAACACAGGUCUCUGCUAAACCGUAAGGUGAUGUAUAGGGGCUGACGCCUGCCCGGUGCUGGAAGGUUAAGAGGAGUGGUUAGCUUCUGCGAAGCUACGAAUCGAAGCCCCAGUAAACGGCGGCCGUAACUAUAACGGUCCUAAGGUAGCGAAAUUCCUUGUCGGGUAAGUUCCGACCCGCACGAAAGGCGUAACGAUUUGGGCACUGUCUCAACGAGAGACUCGGUGAAAUCAUAGUACCUGUGAAGAUGCAGGUUACCCGCGACAGGACGGAAAGACCCCGUGGAGCUUUACUGUAGUCUGAUAUUGAAAUUCGGCACAGCUUGUACAGGAUAGGUAGGAGCCUGAGAUACGUGAGCGCUAGCUUACGUGGAGGCGUUGGUGGGAUACUACCCUCGCUGUGUUGGAUUUCUAACCCGCACCAUUUAUCAUGGUGGGAGACAGUGUCAGAUGGGCAGUUUGACUGGGGCGGUCGCCUCCUAAAGAGUAACGGAGGCGCUCAAAGGUUUCCUCAGAAUGGUUGGAAAUCAUUCAUAGAGUGUAAAGGCAUAAGGAAGCUUGACUGCGAGACUUACAAGUCGAGCAGGGUCGAAAGACGGACUUAGUGAUCCGGUGGUUCCGCAUGGAAGGGCCAUCGCUCAACGGAUAAAAGCUACCCCGGGGAUAACAGGCUUAUCUCCCCCAAGAGUUCACAUCGACGGGGAGGUUUGGCACCUCGAUGUCGGCUCAUCGCAUCCUGGGGCUGUAGUCGGUCCCAAGGGUUGGGCUGUUCGCCCAUUAAAGCGGUACGCGAGCUGGGUUCAGAACGUCGUGAGACAGUUCGGUCCCUAUCCGUCGUGGGCGUAGGAAAUUUGAGAGGAGCUGUCCUUAGUACGAGAGGACCGGGAUGGACAUACCUCUGGUGUACCAGUUGUCGUGCCAACGGCAUCGCUGGGUAGCUAUGUAUGGACGGGAUAAGUGCUGAAAGCAUCUAAGCAUGAAGCCCCCCUCAAGAUGAGAUUUCCCAACUUCGGUUAUAAGAUCCCUCAAAGAUGAUGAGGUUAAUAGGUUCGAGGUGGAAGCAUAGCGAUAUGUGCAGCUGACGAAUACUAAUCGAUCGAAGACUUAAUCAA